UACGGGGGGAGCAAGCGUUGUUCGGAUUUACUGGGCGUAAAGGGCGCGUAGGCGGCGCAACAAGUCACUUGUGAAAUCUCCGGGCUUAACUCGGAAAGGUCAAGUGAUACUGUUGUGCUAGAGUGCGGAAGGGGCAACUGGAAUUCUCGGUGUAGCGGUGAAAUGCGUAGAUAUCGAGAGGAACACCUGCGGCGAAGGCGGGUUGCUGGGCUGACACUGACGCUGAUGCGCGAAAGCUAGGGGAGCGAACGGG
rnacentral:rRNA from 1 species